rnacentral:lncRNA from 1 species
CUCGCCAGAGUCCCCUCCGACCCCGGCAGGGCACCGCCCCCGGCGAAGGAGUCGCCUCCCGCAGCAGCGGCGGCACCAGCACCAGUUGCAGCACCUCCAGCACCGGCACCGGCACCGGCACCGGCACCACCAGCAGUUGCAGCACCUCCAGCACCGGCACCGGCACCAGCAGCUGCUGCAGCACCUCCAGCACCGGCACCGACAGCUGAACCAGCACCAGCUGCAGCAGCAAAAGCAGAGCGGCCACUCUCGCCCUACGCGGCGUAAGUGAACCGCGGAACUGAUAUCCUGAUGGACUCGUGGUAAUGGACGAUCAUUUCCUCAUACAUUU